rnacentral:rRNA from 1 species
CCUACGGGUGGCAGCAGUGAGGAAUAUUGGUCAAUGGACGCAAGUCUGAACCAGCCAUGCCGCGUGCAGGAUGACGGCUCUAUGAGUUGUAAACUGCUUUUGUACGAGGGUAAACCCCGAUACGUGUAUCGGGUUGAAAGUAUCGUACGACUAAGGAUCGGCUAACUCCGUGCCAGCAGCCGCGGUAAUACGGAGGAUCCGAGCGUUCUCCGGAUUUAUUGGGUUUACAGGGUGCGUAGGCGGUUUGAUAAGUUAGAGGUGAAAUGUCGGGGCUCAACCCCGAAACUGCCUCUAAUACUGUUGGACUAGAGAAUAGUUGCGGUAGGCGGAAUGUAUGGUGUAGCGGUGAAAGGCUUAGAGAUCAUACAGAACACCGAUUGCGAAGGCAGCUUACCAAACUAUAUCUGACGUUGAGGCACGAAAGCGUGGGUAGCAAACAGGAUUAGAUACCCGUGUAGUC